GACGAACGCUGGCGGCACGCUUAACACAUGCAAGUCGAACGAGGUCCAUGGAGCUUGCUCCGGAAGACCUAGUGGCGAACGGGUGCGUAACACGUGAGAAACCUGCCCUGAACUUGGGAAUAACAGUCGGAAACGACUGCUAAUACCGAAUACCUUCACGACGUCGCAUGGCGAUGUGAAGAAAGCUUUAUGCGGUUUAGGAGGGUCUCGCGGCCUAUCAGCUUGUUGGUGAGGUAACGGCUCACCAAGGCAUCGACGGGUAGCUGGUCUGAGAGGAUGAUCAGCCACACUGGGACUGAGACACGGCCCAGACUCCUACGGGAGGCAGCAGUGGGGAAUAUUGCACAAUGGGCGCAAGCCUGAUGCAGCGAUGCCGCGUGCGGGAUGAAGGCCCUAGGGUUGUAAACCGCUUUCAGCAGGGAAGAAAAUGACGGUACCUGCAGAAGAAGGUGCGGCCAACUACGUG
rnacentral:rRNA from 1 species